UGGGGUGUCGCUCAGUGGUAAAGUAUGUGCCUAGCAUGUAUGAGGCCCUGGGUUCAAUCCCCAGCACCAGAA
rnacentral:tRNA from 1 species